ensembl:snRNA U1 U1 spliceosomal RNA
AUACUUACCUGGCAGGAGUGAUACCAUGAUCACGAAGGUGGUUUUCCCUGGGCGAGGCUCAUCUAUUGCACUCCGGAUGUGCUGACCUCUGCGAUUUCCCCAAAUGUGGGGAACUUGACUGCACAAUUUGUGGUAGUGGGGGACUGAGUUUGCACUUUCCCCUG